rnacentral:lncRNA from 1 species
UGAAGCCAUCAUAAAUUCCAACGAACAGUGCGUCAUGGCUUACAUCGUCCUAGUUGUGAUCUUCCAUAUCCUUAUUUGACUAACAGAAGCCAUGGAGAAUUCCCCAUGGCAAUGCCUUUCAUUUUUAGGAGAUUUUGGUAAAGGGUCAGCGUUAAAUGUUUCUUGAUAACAAGAAUACUAAUAACACUAUCAAUCUUCUCAUUUCUUGAUAACAAUAUACAAAAAUUAGCAAAAUUUAGCAAAACAAGAAUACUAAUAACACUAUCAAUCUUCUCAUUUCUUGAUAAGAAUAUACAAAAAUAACACUAUCAACCUUCUCAUUUCUUGAUAACAAUAUACAAAAUUUAGCAAAACAAGAACACUAAUAACACUAUCAAUCUUCUCAUUUCUUGAUAAGAAUAUACAAAAUUUAACAAAGCAAGAACACUAAUAACACUAUCAAUCUUCUUAUUUCUUGAUAACAAUAUACAAAAUUUAGCAAAACAAGAACACUAAUAACACUAUCAAUCUUCUCAUUUCUUGAUAACAAUAUACAAAAUUUAGCAAAACAAGAACACUAAUAACACUAUCAAUCUUCUCAUUUCUUGAUAACAAUAUACAAAAUUUAGCAAAACAAGAACACUAAUAACACUAUCAAUCUUCUCAUUUCUUGAUAACAAUAUACAAAAUUUAGCAAAACAAGAACACUAAUAACACUAUCAAUCUUCUCAUUUCUUGAUAACAAUAUACAAAAUUUAGCAAAACAAGAACACUAAUAACACUAUCAAUCUUCUCAUUUCUUGAUAACAAUAUACAAAAUUUAGCAAAACAAGAACACUAAUAACACUAUCAAUCUUCUCAUUUCUUGAUAACAAUAUACAAAAUUUAGCAAAACAAGAACACUAAUAACACUAUCAAUCUUCUCAUUUCUUGAUAACAAUAUACAAAAUUUAGCAAAACAAGAACACUAAUAACACUAUCAAUCUUCUCAUUUCUUGAUAACAAUAUACAAAAUUUAGCAAAACAAGAACACUAAUAACACUAUCAAUCUUCUCAUUUCUUGAUAACAAUAUACAAAAUUUAGCAAAACAAGAACACUAAUAACACUAUCAAUCUUCUCAUUUCUUGAUAACAAUAUACAAAAUUUAGCAAAACAAGAACACUAAUAACACUAUCAAUCUUCUCAUUUCUUGAUAACAAUAUACAAAAUUUAGCAAAACAAGAACACUAAUAACACUAUCAAUCUUCUCAUUUCUUGAUAACAAUAUACAAAAUUUAGCAAAACAAGAACACUAAUAACACUAUCAAUCUUCUCAUUUCUUGAUAACAAUAUACAAAAUUUAGCAAAACAAGAACACUAAUAACACUAUCAAUCUUCUCAUUUCUUGAUAACAAUAUACAAAAUUUAGCAAAACAAGAACACUAAUAACACUAUCAAUCUUCUCAUUUCUUGAUAACAAUAUACAAAAUUUAGCAAAACAAGAACACUAAUAACACUAUCAAUCUUCUCAUUUCUUGAUAACAAUAUACAAAAUUUAGCAAAACAAGAACACUAAUAACACUAUCAAUCUUCUCAUUUCUUGAUAACAAUAUACAAAAUUUAGCAAAACAAGAACACUAAUAACACUAUCAAUCUUCUCAUUUCUUGAUAACAAUAUACAAAAUUUAGCAAAACAAGAACACUAAUAACACUAUCAAUCUUCUCAUUUCUUGAUAACAAUAUACAAAAUUUAGCAAAACAAGAACACUAAUAACACUAUCAAUCUUCUCAUUUCUUGAUAACAAUAUACAAAAUUUAGCAAAACAAGAACACUAAUAACACUAUCAAUCUUCUCAUUUCUUGAUAACAAUAUACAAAAUUUAGCAAAACAAGAACACUAAUAACACUAUCAAUCUUCUCAUUUCUUGAUAACAAUAUACAAAAUUUAGCAAAACAAGAACACUAAUAACACUAUCAAUCUUCUCAUUUCUUGAUAACAAUAUACAAAAUUUAGCAAAACAAGAACACUAAUAACACUAUCAAUCUUCUCAUUUCUUGAUAACAAUAUACAAAAUUUAGCAAAACAAGAACACUAAUAACACUAUCAAUCUUCUCAUUUCUUGAUAACAAUAUACAAAAUUUAGCAAAACAAGAACACUAAUAACACUAUCAAUCUUCUCAUUUCUUGAUAACAAUAUACAAAAUUUAGCAAAACAAGAACACUAAUAACACUAUCAAUCUUCUCAUUUCUUGAUAACAAUAUACAAAAUUUAGCAAAACAAGAACACUAAUAACACUAUCAAUCUUCUCAUUUCUUGAUAACAAUAUACAAAAUUUAGCAAAACAAGAACACUAAUAACACUAUCAAUCUUCUCAUUUCUUGAUAACAAUAUACAAAAUUUAGCAAAACAAGAACACUAAUAACACUAUCAAUCUUCUCAUUUCUUGAUAACAAUAUACAAAAUUUAGCAAAACAAGAACACUAAUAACACUAUCAAUCUUCUCAUUUCUUGAUAACAAUAUACAAAAUUUAGCAAAACAAGAACACUAAUAACACUAUCAAUCUUCUCAUUUCUUGAUAACAAUAUACAAAAUUUAGCAAAACAAGAACACUAAUAACACUAUCAAUCUUCUCAUUUCUUGAUAACAAUAUACAAAAUUUAGCAAAACAAGAACACUAAUAACACUAUCAAUCUUCUCAUUUCUUGAUAACAAUAUACAAAAUUUAGCAAAACAAGAACACUAAUAACACUAUCAAUCUUCUCAUUUCUUGAUAACAAUAUACAAAAUUUAGCAAAACAAGAACACUAAUAACACUAUCAAUCUUCUCAUUUCUUGAUAACAAUAUACAAAAUUUAGCAAAACAAGAACACUAAUAACACUAUCAAUCUUCUCAUUUCUUGAUAACAAUAUACAAAAUUUAGCAAAACAAGAACACUAAUAACACUAUCAAUCUUCUCAUUUCUUGAUAACAAUAUACAAAAUUUAGCAAAACAAGAACACUAAUAACACUAUCAAUCUUCUCAUUUCUUGAUAACAAUAUACAAAAUUUAGCAAAACAAGAACACUAAUAACACUAUCAAUCUUCUCAUUUCUUGAUAACAAUAUACAAAAUUUAGCAAAACAAGAACACUAAUAACACUAUCAAUCUUCUCAUUUCUUGAUAACAAUAUACAAAAUUUAGCAAAACAAGAACACUAAUAACACUAUCAAUCUUCUCAUUUCUUGAUAACAAUAUACAAAAUUUAGCAAAACAAGAACACUAAUAACACUAUCAAUCUUCUCAUUUCUUGAUAACAAUAUACAAAAUUUAGCAAAACAAGAACACUAAUAACACUAUCAAUCUUCUCAUUUCUUGAUAACAAUAUACAAAAUUUAGCAAAACAAGAACACUAAUAACACUAUCAAUCUUCUCAUUUCUUGAUAACAAUAUACAAAAUUUAGCAAAACAAGAACACUAAUAACACUAUCAAUCUUCUCAUUUCUUGAUAACAAUAUACAAAAUUUAGCAAAACAAGAACACUAAUAACACUAUCAAUCUUCUCAUUUCUUGAUAACAAUAUACAAAAUUUAGCAAAACAAGAACACUAAUAACACUAUCAAUCUUCUCAUUUCUUGAUAACAAUAUACAAAAUUUAGCAAAACAAGAACACUAAUAACACUAUCAAUCUUCUCAUUUCUUGAUAACAAUAUACAAAAUUUAGCAAAACAAGAACACUAAUAACACUAUCAAUCUUCUCAUUUCUUGAUAACAAUAUACAAAAUUUAGCAAAACAAGAACACUAAUAACACUAUCAAUCUUCUCAUUUCUUGAUAACAAUAUACAAAAUUUAGCAAAACAAGAACACUAAUAACACUAUCAAUCUUCUCAUUUCUUGAUAACAAUAUACAAAAUUUAGCAAAACAAGAACACUAAUAACACUAUCAAUCUUCUCAUUUCUUGAUAACAAUAUACAAAAUUUAGCAAAACAAGAACACUAAUAACACUAUCAAUCUUCUCAUUUCUUGAUAACAAUAUACAAAAUUUAGCAAAACAAGAACACUAAUAACACUAUCAAUCUUCUCAUUUCUUGAUAACAAUAUACAAAAUUUAGCAAAACAAGAACACUAAUAACACUAUCAAUCUUCUCAUUUCUUGAUAACAAUAUACAAAAUUUAGCAAAACAAGAACACUAAUAACACUAUCAAUCUUCUCAUUUCUUGAUAACAAUAUACAAAAUUUAGCAAAACAAGAACACUAAUAACACUAUCAAUCUUCUCAUUUCUUGAUAACAAUAUACAAAAUUUAGCAAAACAAGAACACUAAUAACACUAUCAAUCUUCUCAUUUCUUGAUAACAAUAUACAAAAUUUAGCAAAACAAGAACACUAAUAACACUAUCAAUCUUCUCAUUUCUUGAUAACAAUAUACAAAAUUUAGCAAAACAAGAACACUAAUAACACUAUCAAUCUUCUCAUUUCUUGAUAACAAUAUACAAAAUUUAGCAAAACAAGAACACUAAUAACACUAUCAAUCUUCUCAUUUCUUGAUAACAAUAUACAAAAUUUAGCAAAACAAGAACACUAAUAACACUAUCAAUCUUCUCAUUUCUUGAUAACAAUAUACAAAAUUUAGCAAAACAAGAACACUAAUAACACUAUCAAUCUUCUCAUUUCUUGAUAACAAUAUACAAAAUUUAGCAAAACAAGAACACUAAUAACACUAUCAAUCUUCUCAUUUCUUGAUAACAAUAUACAAAAUUUAGCAAAACAAGAACACUAAUAACACUAUCAAUCUUCUCAUUUCUUGAUAACAAUAUACAAAAUUUAGCAAAACAACAACACUAAUAACACUAUCAAUCUUCUCAUUUCUUGAUAACAAUAUACAAAUUUAGCAAAACAAGAACACUAAUAACACUAUCAAUCUUCUCAUUUCAUGAUAACAAUAUACAAAAUUUAGCAAAACAAGAACACUAACAACAUUAUCAAUCUCCUUAUUUCUUGAUAACAAUAUACAAAAUUUAGCAAAACAAGAACACUAAUAACACUAUCAAUCUUCUCAUUUCUUGAUAACAAUAUACAAAAUUUAGCAAAAUAAGAACACUAAUAACACUAUAAAUCCUUUCAUUUCUUCAUAACAAUAUACAGGUAAGUAUGCUAAGAAAAAAGAAGCAAAAAAAUAAAUCACGUAAUAGAGUCCUAAAGAUGUGCGUACGGAUAUAGGAAGCAGCGGUGUGGCCUUUGAAGCCAUCAUAAAUUCCAACGAACAGUGCGUCAUGGCUUACAUCGUCCUAGUUGUGAUCUUCCAUAUCCUUAUUUGACUAACAGAAGCCAUGGAGAAUUCCCCAUGGCAAUGCCUUUCAUUUUUGGGAGAUUUUGGUAAAGGGUCAGCGUUAAAUGUUUCUUGAUAACAAGAACACUAAUAACACUAUCAAUCUUCUCAUUUCUUGAUAACAAUAUACAAAAUUUAGCAAAACAAGAACACUAAUAACACUAUCAAUCUUCUCAUUUCUUGAUAACAAUAUACAAAAUUUAGCAAAACAAGAACACUAAUAACACUAUCAAUCUUCUCAUUUCUUGAUAACAAUAUACAAAAUUUAGCAAAACAAGAACACUAAUAACACUAUCAAUCUUCUCAUUUCUUGAUAACAAUAUACAAAAUUUAGCAAAACAAGAACACUAAUAACACUAUCAAUCUUCUCAUUUCUUGAUAACAAUAUACAAAAUUUAGCAAAACAAGAACACUAAUAACACUAUCAAUCUUCUCAUUUCUUGAUAACAAUAUACAAAAUUUAGCAAAACAAGAACACUAAUAACACUAUCAAUCUUCUCAUUUCUUGAUAACAAUAUACAAAAUUUAGCAAAACAAGAACACUAAUAACACUAUCAAUCUUCUCAUUUCUUGAUAACAAUAUACAAAAUUUAGCAAAACAAGAACACUAAUAACACUAUCAAUCUUCUCAUUUCUUGAUAACAAUAUACAAAAUUUAGCAAAACAAGAACACUAAUAACACUAUCAAUCUUCUCAUUUCUUGAUAACAAUAUACAAAAUUUAGCAAAACAAGAACACUAAUAACACUAUCAAUCUUCUCAUUUCUUGAUAACAAUAUACAAAAUUUAGCAAAACAAGAACACUAAUAACACUAUCAAUCUUCUCAUUUCUUGAUAACAAUAUACAAAAUUUAGCAAAACAAGAACACUAAUAACACUAUCAAUCUUCUCAUUUCUUGAUAACAAUAUACAAAAUUUAGCAAAACAAGAACACUAAUAACACUAUCAAUCUUCUCAUUUCUUGAUAACAAUAUACAAAAUUUAGCAAAACAAGAACACUAAUAACACUAUCAAUCUUCUCAUUUCUUGAUAACAAUAUACAAAAUUUAGCAAAACAAGAACACUAAUAACACUAUCAAUCUUCUCAUUUCUUGAUAACAAUAUACAAAAUUUAGCAAAACAAGAACACUAAUAACACUAUCAAUCUUCUCAUUUCUUGAUAACAAUAUACAAAAUUUAGCAAAACAAGAACACUAAUAACACUAUCAAUCUUCUCAUUUCUUGAUAACAAUAUACAAAAUUUAGCAAAACAAGAACACUAAUAACACUAUCAAUCUUCUCAUUUCUUGAUAACAAUAUACAAAAUUUAGCAAAACAAGAACACUAAUAACACUAUCAAUCUUCUCAUUUCUUGAUAACAAUAUACAAAAUUUAGCAAAACAAGAACACUAAUAACACUAUCAAUCUUCUCAUUUCUUGAUAACAAUAUACAAAAUUUAGCAAAACAAGAACACUAAUAACACUAUCAAUCUUCUCAUUUCUUGAUAACAAUAUACAAAAUUUAGCAAAACAAGAACACUAAUAACACUAUCAAUCUUCUCAUUUCUUGAUAACAAUAUACAAAAUUUAGCAAAACAAGAACACUAAUAACACUAUCAAUCUUCUCAUUUCUUGAUAACAAUAUACAAAAUUUAGCAAAACAAGAACACUAAUAACACUAUCAAUCUUCUCAUUUCUUGAUAACAAUAUACAAAAUUUAGCAAAACAAGAACACUAAUAACACUAUCAAUCUUCUCAUUUCUUGAUAACAAUAUACAAAAUUUAGCAAAACAAGAACACUAAUAACACUAUCAAUCUUCUCAUUUCUUGAUAACAAUAUACAAAAUUUAGCAAAACAAGAACACUAAUAACACUAUCAAUCUUCUCAUUUCUUGAUAACAAUAUACAAAAUUUAGCAAAACAAGAACACUAAUAACACUAUCAAUCUUCUCAUUUCUUGAUAACAAUAUACAAAAUUUAGCAAAACAAGAACACUAAUAACACUAUCAAUCUUCUCAUUUCUUGAUAACAAUAUACAAAAUUUAGCAAAACAAGAACACUAAUAACACUAUCAAUCUUCUCAUUUCUUGAUAACAAUAUACAAAAUUUAGCAAAACAAGAACACUAAUAACACUAUCAAUCUUCUCAUUUCUUGAUAACAAUAUACAAAAUUUAGCAAAACAAGAACACUAAUAACACUAUCAAUCUUCUCAUUUCUUGAUAACAAUAUACAAAAUUUAGCAAAACAAGAACACUAAUAACACUAUCAAUCUUCUCAUUUCUUGAUAACAAUAUACAAAAUUUAGCAAAACAAGAACACUAAUAACACUAUCAAUCUUCUCAUUUCUUGAUAACAAUAUACAAAAUUUAGCAAAACAAGAACACUAAUAACACUAUCAAUCUUCUCAUUUCUUGAUAACAAUAUACAAAAUUUAGCAAAACAAGAACACUAAUAACACUAUCAAUCUUCUCAUUUCUUGAUAACAAUAUACAAAAUUUAGCAAAACAAGAACACUAAUAACACUAUCAAUCUUCUCAUUUCUUGAUAACAAUAUACAAAAUUUAGCAAAACAAGAACACUAAUAACACUAUCAAUCUUCUCAUUUCUUGAUAACAAUAUACAAAAUUUAGCAAAACAAGAACACUAAUAACACUAUCAAUCUUCUCAUUUCUUGAUAACAAUAUACAAAAUUUAGCAAAACAAGAACACUAAUAACACUAUCAAUCUUCUCAUUUCUUGAUAACAAUAUACAAAAUUUAGCAAAACAAGAACACUAAUAACACUAUCAAUCUUCUCAUUUCUUGAUAACAAUAUACAAAAUUUAGCAAAACAAGAACACUAAUAACACUAUCAAUCUUCUCAUUUCUUGAUAACAAUAUACAAAAUUUAGCAAAACAAGAACACUAAUAACACUAUCAAUCUUCUCAUUUCUUGAUAACAAUAUACAAAAUUUAGCAAAACAAGAACACUAAUAACACUAUCAAUCUUCUCAUUUCUUGAUAACAAUAUACAAAAUUUAGCAAAACAAGAACACUAAUAACACUAUCAAUCUUCUCAUUUCUUGAUAACAAUAUACAAAAUUUAGCAAAACAAGAACACUAAUAACACUAUCAAUCUUCUCAUUUCUUGAUAACAAUAUACAAAAUUUAGCAAAACAAGAACACUAAUAACACUAUCAAUCUUCUCAUUUCUUGAUAACAAUAUACAAAAUUUAGCAAAACAAGAACACUAAUAACACUAUCAAUCUUCUCAUUUCUUGAUAACAAUAUACAAAAUUUAGCAAAACAAGAACACUAAUAACACUAUCAAUCUUCUCAUUUCUUGAUAACAAUAUACAAAAUUUAGCAAAACAAGAACACUAAUAACACUAUCAAUCUUCUCAUUUCUUGAUAACAAUAUACAAAAUUUAGCAAAACAAGAACACUAAUAACACUAUCAAUCUUCUCAUUUCUUGAUAACAAUAUACAAAAUUUAGCAAAACAAGAACACUAAUAACACUAUCAAUCUUCUCAUUUCUUGAUAACAAUAUACAAAAUUUAGCAAAACAAGAACACUAAUAACACUAUCAAUCUUCUCAUUUCUUGAUAACAAUAUACAAAAUUUAGCAAAACAAGAACACUAAUAACACUAUCAAUCUUCUCAUUUCUUGAUAACAAUAUACAAAAUUUAGCAAAACAAGAACACUAAUAACACUAUCAAUCUUCUCAUUUCUUGAUAACAAUAUACAAAAUUUAGCAAAACAAGAACACUAAUAACACUAUCAAUCUUCUCAUUUCUUGAUAACAAUAUACAAAAUUUAGCAAAACAAGAACACUAAUAACACUAUCAAUCUUCUCAUUUCUUGAUAACAAUAUACAAAAUUUAGCAAAACAAGAACACUAAUAACACUAUCAAUCUUCUCAUUUCUUGAUAACAAUAUACAAAAUUUAGCAAAACAAGAACACUAAUAACACUAUCAAUCUUCUCAUUUCUUGAUAACAAUAUACAAAAUUUAGCAAAACAAGAACACUAAUAACACUAUCAAUCUUCUCAUUUCUUGAUAACAAUAUACAAAAUUUAGCAAAACAAGAACACUAAUAACACUAUCAAUCUUCUCAUUUCUUGAUAACAAUAUACAAAAUUUAGCAAAACAAGAACACUAAUAACACUAUCAAUCUUCUCAUUUCUUGAUAACAAUAUACAAAAUUUAGCAAAACAAGAACACUAAUAACACUAUCAAUCUUCUCAUUUCUUGAUAACAAUAUACAAAAUUUAGCAAAACAAGAACACUAAUAACACUAUCAAUCUUCUCAUUUCUUGAUAACAAUAUACAAAAUUUAGCAAAACAAGAACACUAAUAACACUAUCAAUCUUCUCAUUUCUUGAUAACAAUAUACAAAAUUUAGCAAAACAAGAACACUAAUAACACUAUCAAUCUUCUCAUUUCUUGAUAACAAUAUACAAAAUUUAGCAAAACAAGAACACUAAUAACACUAUCAAUCUUCUCAUUUCUUGAUAACAAUAUACAAAAUUUAGCAAAACAAGAACACUAAUAACACUAUCAAUCUUCUCAUUUCUUGAUAACAAUAUACAAAAUUUAGCAAAACAAGAACACUAAUAACACUAUCAAUCUUCUCAUUUCUUGAUAACAAUAUACAAAAUUUAGCAAAACAAGAACACUAAUAACACUAUCAAUCUUCUCAUUUCUUGAUAACAAUAUACAAAAUUUAGCAAAACAAGAACACUAAUAACACUAUCAAUCUUCUCAUUUCUUGAUAACAAUAUACAAAAUUUAGCAAAACAAGAACACUAAUAACACUAUCAAUCUUCUCAUUUCUUGAUAACAAUAUACAAAAUUUAGCAAAACAAGAACACUAAUAACACUAUCAAUCUUCUCAUUUCUUGAUAACAAUAUACAAAAUUUAGCAAAACAAGAACACUAAUAACACUAUCAAUCUUCUCAUUUCUUGAUAACAAUAUACAAAAUUUAGCAAAACAAGAACACUAAUAACACUAUCAAUCUUCUCAUUUCUUGAUAACAAUAUACAAAAUUUAGCAAAACAAGAACACUAAUAACACUAUCAAUCUUCUCAUUUCUUGAUAACAAUAUACAAAAUUUAGCAAAACAAGAACACUAAUAACACUAUCAAUCUUCUCAUUUCUUGAUAACAAUAUACAAAAUUUAGCAAAACAAGAACACUAAUAACACUAUCAAUCUUCUCAUUUCUUGAUAACAAUAUACAAAAUUUAGCAAAACAAGAACACUAAUAACACUAUCAAUCUUCUCAUUUCUUGAUAACAAUAUACAAAAUUUAGCAAAACAAGAACACUAAUAACACUAUCAAUCUUCUCAUUUCUUGAUAACAAUAUACAAAAUUUAGCAAAACAAGAACACUAAUAACACUAUCAAUCUUCUCAUUUCUUGAUAACAAUAUACAAAAUUUAGCAAAACAAGAACACUAAUAACACUAUCAAUCUUCUCAUUUCUUGAUAACAAUAUACAAAAUUUAGCAAAACAAGAACACUAAUAACACUAUCAAUCUUCUCAUUUCUUGAUAACAAUAUACAAAAUUUAGCAAAACAAGAACACUAAUAACACUAUCAAUCUUCUCAUUUCUUGAUAACAAUAUACAAAAUUUAGCAAAACAAGAACACUAAUAACACUAUCAAUCUUCUCAUUUCUUGAUAACAAUAUACAAAAUUUAGCAAAACAAGAACACUAAUAACACUAUCAAUCUUCUCAUUUCUUGAUAACAAUAUACAAAAUUUAGCAAAACAAGAACACUAAUAACACUAUCAAUCUUCUCAUUUCUUGAUAACAAUAUACAAAAUUUAGCAAAACAAGAACACUAAUAACACUAUCAAUCUUCUCAUUUCUUGAUAACAAUAUACAAAAUUUAGCAAAACAAGAACACUAAUAACACUAUCAAUCUUCUCAUUUCUUGAUAACAAUAUACAAAAUUUAGCAAAACAAGAACACUAAUAACACUAUCAAUCUUCUCAUUUCUUGAUAACAAUAUACAAAAUUUAGCAAAACAAGAACACUAAUAACACUAUCAAUCUUCUCAUUUCUUGAUAACAAUAUACAAAAUUUAGCAAAACAAGAACACUAAUAACACUAUCAAUCUUCUCAUUUCUUGAUAACAAUAUACAAAAUUUAGCAAAACAAGAACACUAAUAACACUAUCAAUCUUCUCAUUUCUUGAUAACAAUAUACAAAAUUUAGCAAAACAAGAACACUAAUAACACUAUCAAUCUUCUCAUUUCUUGAUAACAAUAUACAAAAUUUAGCAUAACAAGAACACUAACAACAUUAUCAAUCUCCUUAUUUCUUGAUAACAAUAUACAAAAUUUAGCAAAACAAGAACACUAAGAACACUAUCAAUCUUCUCAUUUCUUGAUAACAAUAUACAAAAUUUAGCAAAACAAGAACACUAAUAACACUAUCAAUCUUCUCAUUUGUUGAUAACAAUAUACAAAAUUUAGCAAAACAAGAACACUAAUAACACUAUCAAUCUUCUCAUUUGUUGAUAACAAUAUACAAAAUUUAGCAAAACAAGAACACUAAUAACACUAUCAAUCUUUUCAAUUUUUCAUAACAAUAUACAGGUAAGUAUGCUAAGAAAAAAGAAGCAAAAAAAUAACUCACGAAAUAGAGUCCUGAAGAUGUGCGUACGGAUAUAGGAAGCAGCGGUGUGGCCUUUGAAGCCAUCAUAAAUUCCAACGAAUAGUGCGUCAUGGCUUACAUCGUCGUAGUUGUGAUCUUCCAUAUCCUUAUUUGACUAACAGAAGCCAUGGAGAAUUCCCCAUGGCAAUGCCUUUCAUUUUUGGGAGAUUUUGGUAAAGGGUCAGCGUUAAAUGUUUCUUGAUAACAAGAACACUAAUAACACUAUCAAUCUUCUCAUUUCUUGAUAACAAUAUACAAAAAUUAGCAAAACAAGAACACUAAUAACACUAUCAAUCUUCUCAUUUCUUGAUAACAAUAUACAAAAUUUAGCAAAACAAGAACACUAAUAACACUAUCAAUCUUCUCAUUUCUUGAUAACAAUAUACAAAAAUUAGCAAAACAAGAACACUAAUAACACUAUCAAUCUUCUCAUUUCUUAAUAACAAUUUACAAAAUUUAGCAAAACAAGAACACUAAUAACACUAUCAAUCUUUUCAUUUCUUCAUAACAAUAUACAGGUAAGUAUGCUAAGAAAAAAGAAGCAAAAAAAUAACUCACGCAAUAGAGUCCUAAAGAUGUGCGUACGGAUAUAGGAAGCAGCGGUGUGGCCUUUGAAGCCAUCAUAAAUUCCAACGAACUGUGCGUCAUGGCUUACAUCGUCCUAGUUGUGACCUUCCAUAUCCUUAUUUAACUAACAGAAGCCAUGGAGAAUUCCCCAUGGCAAUGCCUUUCAUUUUUGGGAGAUUUUGAUAAAGGGCCAGCGUUAAAUGUUUCUUGAUAACAAGAACACUAAUAACACUAUCAAUCUUCUCAUUUCUUGAUAACAAUAUACAAAAUUUAGCAAAACAAGAACACUAAUAACACUAUCAAUCUUCUCAUUUCUUGAUAACAAUAUACAAAAUUUAGCAAAACAAGAACACUAAUAACACUAUCAAUCUUCUCAUUUCUUGAUAACAAUAUACAAAAUUUAGCAAAACAAGAACACUAAUAACACUAUCAAUCUUCUCAUUUCUUGAUAACAAUAUACAAAAUUUAGCAAAACAAGAACACUAAUAACACUAUCAAUCUUCUCAUUUCUUGAUAACAAUAUACAAAAUUUAGCAAAACAAGAACACUAAUAACACUAUCAAUCUUCUCAUUUCUUGAUAACAAUAUACAAAAUUUAGCAAAACAAGAACACUAAUAACACUAUCAAUCUUCUCAUUUCUUGAUAACAAUAUACAAAAUUUAGCAAAACAAGAACACUAAUAACACUAUCAAUCUUCUCAUUUCUUGAUAACAAUAUACAAAAUUUAGCAAAACAAGAACACUAAUAACACUAUCAAUCUUCUCAUUUCUUGAUAACAAUAUACAAAAUUUAGCAAAACAAGAACACUAAUAACACUAUCAAUCUUCUCAUUUCUUGAUAACAAUAUACAAAAUUUAGCAAAACAAGAACACUAAUAACACUAUCAAUCUUCUCAUUUCUUGAUAACAAUAUACAAAAUUUAGCAAAACAAGAACACUAAUAACACUAUCAAUCUUCUCAUUUCUUGAUAACAAUAUACAAAAUUUAGCAAAACAAGAACACUAAUAACACUAUCAAUCUUCUCAUUUCUUGAUAACAAUAUACAAAAUUUAGCAAAACAAGAACACUAAUAACACUAUCAAUCUUCUCAUUUCUUGAUAACAAUAUACAAAAUAGAGAGAUCAAAUACAAGAACACUAUAACACUAUCAAUCUCUCAUUUCUUGAUAACAUAUACAAAAUUUAGCAAACAAGAACACUAAUAACACUAUCAUCUUCUCAUUUCUUGAUAACAAUAUACAAAAUUUAGCAAACAAGAACACUAAUAACACUAUCAAUCUUCUCAUUUUCUGAUAACAAUAUACAAAAUUUAGCAAAACAAGAACACUAAUAACAUCUAUCAUCUCCUUAUUCUUGAUAACAAUAUACAAAAUUUAGCAAACAAGAACACUAAUAACAUUAUCAAUCUUCUCAUUUCUUGAUAACAAUAUACAAAAUUUAGCAAAACAAGAACACUAAUAACACUAUCAAUCUUCUCAUUUCUUGAUAACAAUACAAAAUUUAGCAAAAGAACAACUAUAACACUAUCAAUCUUUUCAUUUCUUGAUAACAUAUACAAAUUUAGCAAACAAGAACACUAAUAACACUAUCAUCUUCUAUUUUUGAUACAAAUAUAAAAAUUUAGCAAAACAAGAACACUAAUAACACUAUCAUCUUCUCAUUUCUUGAUAACAAUAUACAAAAUUUAGCAAACAAGAACACUAAAAACACUAUCAAUCUUCUCAUUUCUUGUAACAAUAUACAAAAUUUAGCAAAACAAGAACACUAAUAACACUAUCAAUCUUUCAUUUCUUGAUAACAUUUACAAAAUUUAGCAAAACAAGAACACUAAUAACACUAUCAUCUUUCUCAUUCUUGAUAACAAUAUACAAAUUUUAGCAAAACAAGAACACUAUAACACUAUCAAUCUUCUCAUUUCUUGAUAACAAUAUACAAAAUUUAGCAAACAAGAACACUAUAACACUAUCAAUCUUUUCAUUUCUUGAUAACAAUAUACAAAAUUUAGCAAAACAAGAACACUAAUAACACUAUCAUUCUUCUCAUUUCUUGAUAACAUAUACAAAAUUUAGCAAAACAAGAACACUAAUAACACUAUCAAUCUUCUCAUUUCUUGAAACAAUAUACAAAAUUUAGCAAACAAGAACACUAAUAAACUAUCAAUCUUCUCAUUUCUUGAUAACAAUAUACAAAAUUAGCAAAACAAGAACACAUAAUACACUAUCAAUCUUCUCAUUUCUUGAUAACAAUAUACAAAUUUAGCAAAACAACAACACUAAUAACACUAUCAAUCUUCUCAUUUCUUGAUAACAAUAUACAAAUUUAGCAAAACAAGAACACUAAUAACACUAUCAAUCUUCUCAUUUCUUGAUAACAAUAUACAAAAUUUAGAAAAACAAGAACACUAACAACAUUAUCAAUCUCCUUAUUUCUUGAUAACAAUAUACAAAAUUUAGCAAAACAAGAACACUAAAAACACUAUCAAUCUUAUCAUUUCUUGAUUACAAUAUACAAAAUUUAGCAAAACAAGAACACUACUAACACUAUCAAUCUUCUCAUUUCUUGAUAACAAUAUACAAAAUUUAGCAAAACAAGAACACUAAUAACACUAUCAAUCUUUUCAUUUCUUCAUAACAAUAUACAGGGAAGUAUGCUAAGAAAAAAGAAGCAAAAAAAUAACUCACGUAACAGAGUCCUAAAGAUGUGCGUACGGAUAUAGGAAGCAGCGGUGUGGCCUUUGAAGCCAUCAUAAAUUCCAACGAACAGUGCGUCAUGGCUUACAUCGUCCUAGUUGUGAUCUUCCAUAUCCUUAUUUUACUAACAGAAGCAAUGGAGAAUUCCCCAUGGCAAUGCCUUUCAUUUUUGGGAGAUUUUGGUAAAGGGUCAGCGUUAAAUGUUUCUUGAUAACAAGAACACUAAUAACACUAUCAAUCUUCUCAUUUCUUGAUAAUAAUAUACAAAAAUUAGCAAAACAAGAACACUUAUCAGACUAUCAACCUUCUCAUUUUUUGAUAACAAUAUACAAAAUUUAGCAAAACAAGAACACUAAUAACACUAUCAAUCUUCUCAUUUCUUGACAACAAUAUACAAAAUUUAGCAAAACAAGAACACUAAUAACACUAUCAAUCUUCUCAUUUCUUGAUAACAAUAUACAAAAUUUAGCAAAACAAGAACACUAAUAACACUAUCAAUCUUCUCAUUUCUUGAUAACAAUAUACAAAAUUUAGCAAAACAAGAACACUAGUAACACUAUCAAUCUUCUCAUUUUUUUGAUAACAAUAUACAAAAUUUAGCAAAACAAGAACACUAAUAACACUAUCAAUCUUCUCAUUUCUUGACAACAAUAUACAAAAUUUAGCGAAACAAGAACACUAAUAACACUAUCAAUAUUCUCAUUUCUUGAUAACAAUAUACAAAAUUAGCAAAACAAGAACACUAAUAACACUAUCAAUCUUCUAAUUUCUAGAUAACAAUAUACAAAAUUUUAGCAAAACAACAACACUAAUAACACUAUCAAUCUUCUCAUUUCUUGAUAACAAUAUACAAAUUUAGCAAAACAAGAACACUAAUAACACUAUCAAUCUUCUUAUUUCUUGAUAACAAUAUACAAAAUUUAGCAAAACAAGAACACUAACAACAUUAUCAAUCUCCUUAUUUCUUGAUAACAAUAUACAAAAUUUAGCAAAACAAGAACACUAAAAACACUAUCAAUCUUCUCAUUUCUUGAUAACAAUAUUAACAAAAUUUAGCAAAACAAGAAACACUAAUAACACUAUCAAUUUUCUCAUUUCUUGAUAACAAUAUACAAAUUUAGCAAAACAAGAACACUAAUAACACUAUCAAUCUUCUCAUUCUUGAUAACAAUAUACAAAAUUUAGCAAACAAGAACACUAAUAACACUAUCAAUCUUCUCAUUCUUGAUAACAAUAUACAAAUUUAGCAAAACAAGAACUACUAACACUAUCAAUCUUCUCAUUUCUUGAUAACAAUAUACAAAAUUUAGCAAAACAAGAACAUAAUAACACUAUCAAUCUUCUCAUUUCUUGAUAACAAUAUACAAAAUUAGCAAAACAAGAACAUAAUAACACUAUCAAUCUUCUAUUUCUGUAACAAUAUACAAAAUUUAGCAAAACAAAACACUAAUAACACUAUCAAUCUUCUCAUUUCUUGAUAACAAUAUACAAAUUUAGCAAAACAAGAACACUAAUAACACUAUCAAUCUUCUCAUUUCUUGAUACAAUACAACAAAUUUAGCAAACAAGAACACUAAAACACAUCAUCUCUUAUUUCUUGAUAACAUUACAAAAUUUAGCAAACAAGAACACUAAUAAACUAUCAAUCUUCUCAUUUCUGAUAACAAUAUACAAAUUUAGCAAAACAAGAACACUAUAACACUAUCAAUCUUCUCAUUUCUUAGAAACAAUAUACAAAAUUUAGCAAAACAAGAACACUAAUAACACUUCAAUCUUCUCAUUCUUGAUAACAAUAUACAAAAUUUAGCAAAACAAGAACCACUAAUAACACUAUCAAUCUUCUCAUUUCUUGAUAACAAUAUACAAAAUUUAGCAAAACAAGAACACUAUAACACUAUCAAUCUUCUCAUUUUUUUGAUAACAAUAUACAAAAUUUAGCACAAACAGAACACUAUCUAAUCUUCUCAUUUCUUGAAACAAUAUACAAAAUUUAGCAAAACAAGAACACUAAAACUAUCAAUUUCUCAUUUCUUGAUAACAAUAUACAAAAUUUAGCAAAACAAAGAAACACUAAUAACACUAUCAAUCUUCUCAUUUUCUGAUAACAAUAUACAAAAUUUAGCAAACAAAACACUAAUAACACUAUCAAUCUUCUCAUUUCUUGAUAACAUAUAACAAAUUUAGCAAAAACAAGAACACUAAUAACACUAUCAAUCUUCUAUUUCUUGAUAACAAUAUACAAAAUUUAGCAAAAAACAAGAACACUAACAACUAUCAAUCUCUUAUUUUCUUGAUAACAAUAUACAAAUUUUAGCAAAACAAGAACACUAAUAACACUAUCAAUCUUCUCAUUUCUUGAUAACAAUAUACAAAAUUUAGCAAAACAAGAACACUAAUAACACUAUCAAUCUUCUCAUUUCUUGUAACAAUUACAAAAUUUAGCAAACAAGAACACUAAUAACACUAUAAUCUUCUCAUUUCUAUAACAAUAUACAGUAGUAUUAAGAAAAAAGACGCAAAAAAAUAACUCACUAAUAACCCUAACGAAUGUGCGUACAUAUAGAAAGCAGCGUUCUUAACAUCUAAAUUCCACGAACAGUGCGUCAUGCUUACAUCGUCCUAGUUGUGAUCUUCAUAUCUUAUUUGACUAAAAAGCAUGGAGAAUUCCCAUGCAAUGCUUCUCAUUUUUGAAUUUUUAAAGGGUCAGCGUUAAAUGUUUCUUGAAACAAGAACACUAAUAACACUAUCAAUCUUCUCAUUUCUUGAUAACAAUAUACAAAAAUUAGCAAAACAAAAAACACUAAUAACACUAUCAACCUUCUCAUUUCUUGAUAACAAUUAUACAAUUUAGCAAACAAGACUAUACACUAUCAAUCUUCUCUUUUUGAUAACAAUAUACAAAUUUAGCAAACAAGAACACUAAUACACUAUCAAUCUUCUCAUUUCUUGAAACAAUAUACAAAAUUUAGCAAACAAGAAAAACUAAUAACAUAUCAAUCUUCUCAUUUCUUGAUAACAUAUACAAAAUUUAGCAAAACAAGAAACAUAAUAAACUAUCAAUCUUCUUUUCUUGAUAACAAUAUACAAAAUUUAGCAAAACAAGAACACUAAUAACACUAUCAAUCUUCUCAUUUCUUGAUAACAAUAUACAAAUUUAGCAAAAACAAGAACACUAAUAACACUAUCAUCUUCUCAUUUCUUGAUAACAAUAUACAAAUUUAGCAAAACAAGAACACUAAAACAUUAUCAAUCUCCUUAUUUCUUUAAACAAUAAUCAAAAUUUAGCAAACCAAGAACACUAAAAACACAAAUCAAUCUUCUCAUUUCUUGAUAACAAUAUACAAAAUUUAGAAAAACAAGAACACUAAUAACACUAUCAAUCUUCUCAUUUCUUGAUAACAAUAUACAAAAUUUAGCAAAACAAGAACACUAAUAACACUAUCAAUCUUCUCUUUCAGUACAAUUCCAAACAAGAACACUAAUAACACUAUCAUCUUCUCAUUUCUGAUAACAAUAUACAAAAUUAGCAAAAAACAGAACACUAAUACCACUAUCAACUUCUCAUUUCUUGAUAACAAUAUACAAAAUUUAGCAAAACAAGAACACUAAUAACACUAUCAAUCUUCCUCAUUUCUUGGAUAAAAUAUCCAAAUUUAGCAAAACAAGAACACUAUAACAACUAUCAAUCUUCCUAUUUCUUGAUAACAAUAUACAAAAUUUAGCAAAAGAACACUAAUAACACUAUCAAUCUUCUCAUUUCUUGAUAAAAUAUACAAAAUUUAGCAAAACAAGACACUAAUAACACUAUCAAUCUUCUCAUUUCUUGAUAAAAUAUACAAAAUUUAGCAAAACAAGAACACUAAUAACUAUCAAUCUUCUCAUUUCUUGAUAACAAUAUACAAAAUUUAGCAAAACAAGAACACUAUAACACUAUCAAUCUUCUCAUUUUUGAUAACAAUAUACAAAAUUUAGCAAAACAAGAACACUAAUAACACUAUCAAUCUUCUCAUUUCUUGACAAGAAAUAAAAACUUGAAACAAGAACCUAUAAACACUAUCAAUCUUCUCAUUUCUUGAUAACAAUAUACAAAAUUAGCAAAACAAGAACACUAAACAACAUUAUCAUCUCUUAUUUCUUGAUAACAAUAUAAAAACAAAUUUAGCAAAACAAGAAACACUAAUCAACACUAUCAUUCUUCUCAUUUCUUGAUAACAAUAUACAAAUUAGCAAAACAAGAACACUAAUAACACUAUCAAUCUUCUCAUUUCUUGAUAACAAUAUACAAAAUUUAGCAAAACAAGACACUAAUAACACUAUCAAUCUUCAUUUCUUGAUAACAAUAUACAAAAUUUAGCAAAACAAGCACUAAUAACACUAUAUCUUCUCAUCUUCUAAAUAUACUUUAGCAAAACAAGAACACUAAUAACACUAUCAUCUUCUCAUUUCUUGAUAACAAUAUACAAAUUUAGCAAAAACAGACACUAAUAACACUAUCAAUCUUCUCAUUUCUUGUAACAAUAUACAAAAUUUAGCAAAACAAGAACACUAAUAACACUAUCAAUCUUUCUCAUUUCUUGAUAACAAUAUACAAAAUUUAGCAAACAAGAACACUAAUAACACUAUCAAUCUUCUCAUUUCUGAUAACAAUAUAACAAAUUUAGCAAAACAAGAACACUAAUAACACUAUCAAUCUUUCAUUUCUUGAUAACAAUAUACAAAAUUUAGCAAACAAGAACACUAAUAACACUAUCAAUCUUCUCAUUUUUGUGAACAAUAUACAAAAUUUAGCAAAACAAGAACACUAAUAACACUAUCAAUCUUCUCAUUUCUUGAUAACAAUAUACAAAAUUUAGCAAAACAAGAACACUAAUAACACUAUCAAUCUUCUCAUUUCUUGAUAACAAUAUACAAAAUUAGCAAAACAAGAAACUAAUAACACUAUCAAUCUUCUCAUUUCUUGAUAACAAUAUACAGUAAGUAUGCUAAGAAAAAGAAGCAAAAAAUAACUCACGUAAUAGUCCUAUAAGAUGUGCGUACGAUAUAGGAAGCAGUGUGGCCUUUGAAGCCAUCAUAAAUUCCAACGAACAGUGCGUCAUGGCUUACAUGUCGCUAGUUGUGAUCUUCCAUAUCCUUAUUUUGCUAACAGAAGCAUGGAGAAUUCCCAUGGCAAUGCCUUUCAUUUUUGGGAGAUUUUUGUAAAGGUCAGCGGUUAAAUGUUUCUUGAUAACAGACAUAAUAACACUAUCAAUUUCUCAUUUCUUGUAACAAUAUACAAAAUUAGCAAAAAAGAACACAAUAAACUAUCAACUUCUCAUUUCUGAUAACAAUAUACAAAAUUAGCAAAACAAAACACUAUAACACUAUCAAUCUUCUCAUUUCUUGAUAAAAUUAAAAUUUAGCAAAAUAAGAACACUAAUAACACUAUCAAUCUCUUAUUUUUGAUAACAAUAUACAAAAUUGCAAAAAAGAACUAUCCUCAUCUCCAUUCUUGAUAACAAUAUAAAAUUUAGCAAAACAAAUAAUAACAUAUCAUCUCAUUUCUUGAUAACAAUAUACAAAAUUUAGCAAAACAAGAACACUAAUAACACUAUCAAUCUUCUCAUUUCUUGAUAACAAUAUACAAAUUUAGCAAAACAAGAAACACUAAUAACACUAUCAAUCUUUCAUUCUUAUAACAAUAUACAGAUAAGUAUGCUAAGAAAAAGAAGCAAAAAAUAAUACUCACGAAUAGAGUCCUAAAGAUGUGCGUACGGAUAUAGGAAGCAGCGUGUGGCCUUUGAAGCCAUCAUAAAUUCCAACGAACAGUGCGUCAUGCUUACAUCGAUCCUACGUUGUGAUCUUCCAUAUCCUUAUUUGACUAAAGAGCAUGGAGAAUUCCCCAUGGCAAUGCCUUUCAUUUUGGAGAGAUUUUGUAAAGGGUCAGCGUCAAAGUUUCUUGAUAACAAGAAACACUAAUAACACUAUCAUCUUCUCAUUUCUUGAUACAAUAUACAAAAAUAGCAAACAAAACACUAAUAACACUAUCAACCUUCUCAUUUCUUGAUAACAAUAUACAAAAUUUAGCAAAACAAAGAAACACUAAUAACACUAUCAAUCUUCUCAUUUUUUGAUAACAAUA